GCACAUGAGGGUAUAUUGGUCUUUACCUUAAUAAAAACCCUAAACUCCACCAUCAUCUUCUUAUCUUUCAAUCACCUGCACAUCAACAUACCCCCUUCUUCUCUCUAUCUAACAAUCCUACCACCACCACAACCUGGCAUAUUCAAGAGAGAGUGAGAGAGAGAGAGAGAGAGCAGAAGAGGAGGCAGGAAAGAGAGAGAGAACCGGCGGAGCCGGUGCCGUCGUCUACGGCGGCGGUGGUUCCAGCGACCCUCUCGAGUCACAGCAGUCGUGGGUUCAGUCGACACCGGGUUAACAUGGUCGUCUCUAUUCCGAUUCAUUACAACCCAGUUUCAGUUUGGGUUCGGGUCCAGUCAAAGUAGCCAACCGACUCAGUUUCAUUUUCGGUUCAGAUUCGGUGUCGGGUCAACAUCAGUCAAACAGUCAACACGGGUGGGUCGUGGUGGCGGUGGUGAUGGCGGCGACAGGUGGGUCGUGGUGGCGGUGAUGGCGGCGACAGGUGGGUCGUGGUGGCGGUGGUGGCGGCAGGUAGGUUGUGGUGGUGGUAGGAUUGUUAGAUCUCAAUAAACCACUUUGUUGCCCUAAUUUUGAUGAGUUGUAAGAAAUUGGGGGUUUUUUUGUUCAUGGGUUAUUGAUGAUAAUGUUGAUGAUAAUCUGGGUUUUGAAGUUUUGAA